rnacentral:lncRNA from 1 species
CCUCUCUCAGCCAUGAGCAGGCACAGGGCCAGCUGCUCAGGUUUGCAAGGGAACCAGAGAAACUGGUUCUCGCCCUCAGGACUUCCUCAAGAGACCAAAAAGUUUGGAGCCCAGUGCUUGACUCCAUCCACAAGUUCUCUUCACCACCAGAAGCACCAACCGCCCCUCACUCUCAGAUGACCCAAAGCCCUUCUCUGGGACCAGGGUGCCCACAGGAGGAGGAGGAACCCCCCACUCUGAGGGCGGCUGGGAGAGGAGCAGAGCACAGUGGCAGCUUGUCCUGCGGCCAGGGAGGAGGCUGACAGCAGGUGGCUGGUUACGCCUAUGGGACCUGCUUGGCGGGCUGGGUGGCUUUCUACAAGCUCAGCAUUGGCUGCGGCUGUGGAGCCUUCCUCACAGAGCGGUGCUGAGCGCCCUGGGCCUGCAUUUCCUUGGAGGUGGUGUCAGG